rnacentral:rRNA from 1 species
GACGAACGCUGGCGGCGUGCCUAAUACAUGCAAGUCGAGCGGACCAAACAGGUGCUUGUUCUUGUUUGGUUAGCGGCGGACGGGUGAGUAACACGUGGGUAACCUGCCCGUAAGACCGGGAUAACUCCGGGAAACCGGUGCUAAUACCGGAUAACACCGUUGACCGCAUGGUCUUUGGUUGAAAGGCGGCUUUGGCUGACUCUUACGGAUGGGCGCGCGGUGCAUUAGCUAGUUGGUGAGGUAACGGCUCACCAAGGCGACGAUGCGUAGCCGGCCUGAGAGGGUGACCGGCCACACUGGGACUGAGACACGGCCCAGACUCCUACGGGAGGCAGCAGUAGGGAAUCUUCCGCAAUGGACGAAAGUCUGACGGAGCGACGCCGCGUGAGCGAAGAAGGUCUUCGGAUCGUAAAGCUCUGUUGGUAGGGAAGAAGAAGGGUCGUUCUAACAAGGCGGCGCAGUGACGGUACCUAACGAGAAAGCCCCGGCUAACUACGUG